ACGAACGCUGGCGGCGUGCUUAACACAUGCCAGUCGAACGGAAAGGCCUGCUUUCCCUUGUGGAUUGCGGGUACUCGAGUGGCGAACGGGUGAGUAACACGUGAGUGAUCUGCCCCCAACUUGGGUAUAAGCCUGGGAAACUGGGUCUAAUUCCCGAUAGGACUGCAGGGUGGUGCCUGUGGUGGAAAACGAUUUUCUAGUGGUUGGGGAUGAGCUCGCGGCCUAUCAGCUUGUUGGUGGGGUAAUGGCCUACCAAGGCGGCGACGGGUAGCCGGCCGGAGAGGGUGGACGGCCCCAUUGGGACUGGGAUACGGCCCCGACUCCUACGGGAGGCAGGAGUGGGGAAUAAUGCCCCGUGGGCGGAAGCCUGAUGCAGCGACGCCGCGUGGGGGAUGACGGCCUUCGGGUUGUAAACUCCUUUCGACCGCGAGGAAGCCACCUGGUUGGAAGGGUGGUGACGGUAGUGGUAGAAGAAGCACCGGCUAACUACGUG
rnacentral:rRNA from 1 species